rnacentral:lncRNA from 1 species
UGUGCACCACCCUCUCACCCAAACGAAGGCAGCUGGCCCUGAAGUUCUCUGAGCUUGAGGACAAAAAAAGACCUCUGUGAGUUGUCAGGCUCUGUUACAGUCUGGGUCAGCAGACAAGAGUCCCAGGGCUCGGCCGUCUUCUCUAGGAGAGAAAAUAUUCGUGCCAUAUAGCGUGUUCUAAGAGUUCUCACCAGAAGCCCAGAAAGUUCUGUAUUUACUCAGCAUUCAAGGGAAAACAGACCCUGUAUUUUUGGGAUUCCUGAAAGGUGACCAGAGGAAUAUCCACAGAAGCAGAAGUAGGAAUGGGGAAGGAGGGGACAAGUUUAGACCAAGCUCUUCUGUGACCUCACUUCUGCUUUUGAAGUCCCACAGCUCUAUAAGGAUUCCUAAAACUGGACAUGGUGGCUGUAGGAGGAUGCGCCUCUUUCAGUCAUUGGAUUUCCCCUGGAAAGACAGAAUGAAUUCACAUUCUCACCUGCAGUGGGUGAGAAGUCCCUUUUCCCCCACUUCCUUGCCAAAAAUGGAUAUUAUCAUUCCUUUUCAUCUUUGCCAGUCUGGAAGUUAUGUGCAACUGAACACAAGAAUUACAGAAGAGGCCGGGCGUGGUGGCUCACGCCUGUAAUCCCAACACUUUGGGAGGCUGA